rnacentral:rRNA from 1 species
GAUGAACGCUGGCGGCGUGCCUAAUACAUGCAAGUCGAGCGAACAGACGAGGAGCUUGCUCCUCUGACGUUAGCGGCGGACGGGUGAGUAACACGUGGAUAACCUACCUAUAAGACUGGGAUAACUUCGGGAAACCGGAGCUAAUACCGGAUAAUAUAUUGAACCGCAUGGUUCAAUAGUGAAAGACGGUUUUGCUGUCACUUAUAGAUGGAUCCGCGCCGCAUUAGCUAGUUGGUAAGGUAACGGCUUAGCAAGGCAACGAUGCGUAGCCGACCUGUGAGGCGGGUCGCCGACAUGGGAGCGGAGCCGCGGUCAAGACUACUGAGGGAGGGACCAGUAUGGAAUGUGCCGCAGUAGGCGAAAGUUUGACGGAGCAAGGCCGAGCGAGUUAUGGAGGUCUUCGGAGCGUAAAACUGUGUUAUGAGGGAAGAACAAAUGUGGAAGUAGCUAAGCACGUCUUGACGGUACCUAAUAAGAAAGCCACGGCUAACUACGUG